UGCAUUUGGGCAUUUGUGUGGGACGGAAGUCGGGGCUCUCUGAAAUCUCUAUCAGUGCUUCUAAAUGGCAUAGGUGUGGGCAUUGGUGAUGGCUCAGUAGAUCUAAACCUGUCGGAAAAUCUGAGCAAUUGGAAAAUGUUUGUGCUCGCUCACCUCCUGACAAAGGAAACAAUAACUAACACAGUGGGAAGCUGCAGCUAUCUUCUGACACAUUAUGUUUCUAGCCCCAAAAUGUCACCUGCAACCCAGAGAAGGGAGAUGAAUGAAAUCCAGCAGUGGCCCUGAAACACACCAAAGGAGAAAAAAAAAAAUCCAGCUGCAAAAUCGACUGAGAUUUCUUUAAAGCCCAACACGCUGUUGAGGGCGGACUUUCACCGAGUCUGGGCUUGUAUUCUCUUGUAAGGUCAAGGGUCUUCUAAUUGACCAGGCAGGGGAACUUAAGUCUCUAAUUUGAGGUGUAACUGCAGCAUGUGUCUUCUUUGCCAAAAAUCCGGAGAGAGAAAAGCUAGGUAAAUCUUAGGAUGGUUUUCACAUGAAAAUGCAAGGAUUCCGAGGGUAUAAUGUUUUAAACAGAGGAGACCCAGGAAUUCACCUUGUCCUCUGGAGUCAACUCUACAAAUUUUACACGGAGUGCCGUGUGGUACUAGCAGGAGGAUUCCUUAGAGCUUAUAUAGGUUGAAGGCCAGUGAUGAGGGUGAUGAGGAGAGAUGAUUUAUUAACUCCACAGUGAUAUCCUUCUUAGAAUUUUUCCAAAUAGCUAGUUUUGGAAACCACGUGACCUUUCUGAAACAUAAAUAUUACUUAAUUAACCAAAUUAGAAACAUAUGUUUAUUAAAUCUAAGGUGGGGCUGAUGGAGGGGGGGGAGGGUAGUUGAAAGGAGAUCAUCAGGGAUGGGUGAGGAGCAUGAGGGGUGAUAGGAAGCAAACAUGGUGAAAACACAUUUUAUGUGUGGAUUAAAAUUCUGCAGAGACUGGUGAGCAUAUGCUUUAAAAAUCUUAGAUUAUUUGAGCCAAUGACAUACUGUGGGACUCUUUAGAAUGAAGUUACUAGCAAUCAGGAAAUAAAAAACAUAAUUGAGUUUAAUGUAUCUGCCAGACCAUAGAAUGUCCCAUUUCUUCUAGUUUCCCAUAUUCCUGCUUGGUUUUGUUUUGUACUGGCAGAUAUUGAAAAUGGUGAUAUCUUCUGAACAAAUACUGAACAAAAGUAACUUAAAAUUUGUUUCUUUGAGUCUAGGCCUUAUGCCACCCAACUGGACCCAACUCCUUAUAAAAUUGAUCCUCCUGCCCCCACCUUCCAGGGCAGAGAAGCACCCUAUGCACAACCGAUGCCAUAUAGAAUGCCAAGUUAUAUUCACAUUUCUUAUUUUUCUACAUUGAAUUAACACAAACGAAGUUUCAUACCUGAUUUCCCAUUCCAGAAAGAGGAUGCUACUGCAUUGGGUUAUUGCUUAAUCACUUAUUAUCAUCUUCUCAAUAAUAUUCACAACAAACUCACAGUCAACUAAGAUCACCUUUUAAGGUUGUAAAGAUGAUUUACAAUCAGUUGGAGAGGUAUAAUAUGAAGGUUCAAAGGCCAGAGGCUAGCAGGAGAGACAUGAAGAGGUUUUGUCCUACCUGGUAAGGUCAUCUAUUAUAUUCAUUUGAACAGGGAACAUUCCAUUUUAAAAUUAAAUAAAAUAUGAGAUAGGAAGUGAUAUAGGCACCUUGGUUUCAUUUCCUGUUGUUGAGAUUUAAAAAAAAAAUGACAAAAGCUACUUCUAGGAAAAAGGGCUUAUUUGGCUCACAGUUGCAGGUUAUGCUAUGCCCAUCAUCAUGAGGGAAUCAAGGAGGGAUUCAAGCUAGCAGCAGGCAGCAUGUUACAUCCAUAAUCAAGAGCAUAGAGCAGUGGAUUGAUGUGCACAUGCCAGUAGAGCCCAGCACACGUUUUCUACUCUUAUACAGUCCACAAUUCGAUAGAAAAUGGUGCCACCCAGAGUGUGUGUAUCUUCUCACCACAGUUAGCUUGGUCAAGACAAUUCCAUACAACAUGCCCCAAGUCAGCCUGCUUUAGAUAGUCCGCCAUUGAGACUCCCAUCCUUGGCAAGGGGGUUUACGAACUUUUCAUAUUUGGAAUUGCUGCAUUAUUCUCUCUCUCUCUUUUAAACACUUAGGUAUAAUUUCUCAGAUCUUUUGUCUCUAUAGGUAUAAGAUUUUAUUAAAAGACAGUCAGUCUCAUCCCAGAGUUUGGAUGCUGGUGAAUUAAGUGCACAGACCAGUCUGUGUCAGCCUUUGUUGGUAUGUUAGGGUAAGUAAAUAUGAUUUAGGUGCUAAUAGAAUAAUUUAACAUAUAUCGAGAGUGUGUAAUAUUAAGCUAGAUAAGCAGCUCCAGUUGUAACCCAUCACUGCUGUACGGUUAAUAAUUGGACUAGAAAUGAACUUUCUCUGAUUUUCCACACACUUGGAACUGCCAGAGAUCAAUAACUGUCCCAUGAUUAUUAAUAAAACAACUCUUCUUAAAAGUGAGACGUCCCUGACUUUCCUUUCCCUAGCACUUGAGAUCUCUCUGGCAGGCAACAUGCCAUGAUAUAUCAAGCACUCAGCAGAAAUUCAUAGGAAACAUUACACAUUUACAACCCCCUUCAUUUUGUAAAACUUCAUUUUAGUCAUGUAGACAUUAUGUUAUACUCUGAUAUUUUAGCAGUAGUUGGCACAAUAUAUUACCAGAGAAAUAUGUUAGAAAGGGAAAAGGAACAAGGCUUUGGAUGAUUAAGUUAUAUUAACAGCUUUCUCUAGCUUUAUUUAAAAAUUGAUACAAUAAAUGUCACUUUAAAUAUUUUAUAAUAUAUUUAAUCUGGAGGAGCAGUGGUUUUACAAUUUAUUAUCGAACAUAGUAUUUCUUAACAAAGUUUCUUGUAGAAAAUUUAUUGGUGUGUAGAAUAAAGAAAAAUAAAUGUUUGUGUUCCUCUUUUUUGCUACAUGUAAAAUUUUUUGAUACAUUAAAAUAAAUAAAUGUGAUUUGGAUGACAGUAGACUAAUAUUACACAUAUUGGGAAUAUGUAAAUUAUUUGGUAUUUCUGAUUUUAGUUUUUGACCUAACAUGUAUUAAUCAAAUUAGCAACUGAUUUUGUGAGGUCCUAGUUCAUAGGGGAUUUAACCCUUUCUCUUGGGAUAUUGACUGCUUCCAGAUUAUGCAAUAAGACAAACUGAUUAAUUGGAUCUAUCCAUUCACCCAUCAAUUAAUCUAUGAUCUACUCUUUCAUCUAUAUUGGUUACAUUUUUGUCAACUUGACAGAAGCUAGAGUCAUCUAUGAAUUGGGAAUGAGAGUUGAAGAACUGCACCCACCAGAUUGGUCUGAAAACAAGUCUACAGAGCAUUUUCAUGAUUGGUGACUGAUGUGUGGCAUGGUGGGCAGGGCCACCCACAGCAGUGAAGUGACCAUGUAGAUCAGAAUGACAAAAUGUCAUUCCCAUGAAGAGAUGUAGCAUGAGAGUGCCAUGGAACACCAGGUACCGAAGCCAAGGAGCUUUCUAGAAGCCUGCCAGUGAUAGCAGUGAUGGAACCAUUAUACAAACACUGCUCUGACUGAGAAAUUGUUAGUAAAAUGCUCUGAGCUCUGACUCAGUGAGGAGGACAGCCUGAAUCUUCUCAUGGAACAGGUGGAUUUAUAUUGGAGGGGGACACUGAGUAGGUUUGGGGGAAGGGAAGUAUAGAGCAUAUCAUUUAUAGCCUGGAAGCAGUUUCAAUGACCAGGAACUAAUUUUGCUCUUUCUGUCAACUGCUCUGUCCUGAAUGUGUAUCGAGCUUGAUGUUGGUCUCUAUAUUAAGAGUUCUGAGUUAUGAAGAU
rnacentral:lncRNA from 1 species